AAUGAGAAUGCAGAUGUUGAAGGUAUACUUGGGGCUAAAAUCCGCAUUUCUUAAUAAUAGCAUCUAUUACCACAGAUUUUAAGUGCCAGGAAGUUAUAACAUUCUAUCUUUUUUUAUUUGUUUUACAUAUAUCAUGUAAUUUCAGUCUCAAAAUUUCUGUCAUGUUAACUAAUCACCUUUUAUUGACCUGAAAAUCAGGUUCUGGUGGAAAUUACCAAAA
rnacentral:misc_RNA from 1 species